AUUCCUUUCCCCCCCCCCCCCCCCCAGCACCAUCAUAGCCUUUCCCUGAUCUGCCCCUUUAAGAAAAAUCAACCCACUCUAAGCCUAACCCUUUGUACACUGACCUUACACACUGGACAAUAUUUAAGGAUCAAGGUACCAUCCUAUAAAGAGGUACCAAGGCAGAGCCAUUUUCUGGACGCCAGAUAUAAUAGUGAUCGCCUCCUUGGGAAUAUUAAAAAUACUGCUACUCCUAAGUGAUCCCUGCCUAGACAUUGGAGUUGUCCGUGAUCCCCGGAAGUGGAGGCACAGACAGAUCAGACAGACCCUCUUUGAAGAAAGGAGUGAUGUGUAAAUAGCUGGGUGAUUGAUGUGCUGUCUUUGACUGCGGAGAAAGCACUAUUUUAAUUCAAGUGGCCAGGUCAGAUGGUCACGGAGGAAGGUUGAAAGCGCCACCGCUCCUCCACCUCGCUCUGUAUCCCUGUACAAUGAUUUCAGAGGACGCAGACAAUACGGAUCAAAGCAGCACCAGAGCCAGUUUCUCUGAAGACACGUGUCAAAGAGAAGAAAUCGCCGGCAUUGUGUUGAGUUUCACGCAUUGUUUGCCUGUGGAGAACAAGGGAGCGAAUUCCCCCGAGAAGGCAAAGCACCGAACCUGGAGGUAUAAAUAAAACGGGGCCAAUGGACGAAGACAGAACAGGGCAACCUUCUUUCGCCCUAUAUUGAGACUCGGCUACCGCAAUUAACAUUGCUGCAUAUGGAAACUUUGACGCGGAGUCGCCACGCGAGUGCCCUGGAAGCCGGGAGAGGCAGUUGACUAGAACAGCUUGUCUUGAGGCAAGAAAAGAAACACAAGAAAGUUAAAUAAAAUAAAGUGCACAUUAAGGGAAAGGCUAUGCAGGCGCACAGACUCCCCCUGAGCUGGGGGAGGGGGGUUGUUUUCCAGUUACUGGGCUGAGGAAUGUAGAUCUGACUAGGAGAGAGCCCAUAUUUCUGGGGACACUCCCCCCUUCUAUUCAUUUGAAGAUACAGAUAACCCCAGGGCUGGCCCAAUCACUGGGGAAAGUGAAAGGCAAAGGGAUAAUGUUCAGGUUGGAAUCUCACUUUGCAAAAAUUGCAUCGAUGAUUACCCCGACCCCCGCGCUCCGGGAAACCUGUUCCACAUUUAAACUAACUUGCAAGUUUCAGAUUUGCGCCAGGAUCUGCAAAAAAUAAAAUACCCCCCCCCCCGCCCCGAAGUCACUCAAAGUCAGCCCAUGCGCCCAUUGCAAGAAUCAAUCCGAAUUAUAUUGUUACAUAAACCGCGGCUGCCUUCGCUCCGGGAAGAGCAGUUGCCUUCUGGAGCGGGGUACGGAGCCUGGCUCCCAGAGCGCGGUUGUAUUAGCCUGUAGGGCACAGAGCAGCCCCCAGAACAGUGGCAUUAUUGGGGAGACCCUCCGAGGGGAAGCGGUGGAGUGGGGAGCAAGAAACGGAUGAAAGUCCGUUUCGGCUCCAGGGACAGCAGGGCGGGCUAAAGGAAGCAGAGCUCCACGUCCCAGCCUAGCACAGGGUGUAGCAAAGAACAGCCCCCCCCAAACCAGCAACCCUCCCCCCAGGAAAGCAGCUGGCGGGGUGAUGCCAGCUCAGAUGCGGGAGGGCGCAAAAGGUUCUGCCUUUUGGUUUCCUACCUAAAGAAACCGACACUGGCUCUGAAAAGGUGACAGAUGCUGCUGUUCCCCCCUGUCUUUCUACAGCGCUGGCAUGUGGCAGGCAGGAGUGGCCCGUCUCGCCCAGGAAGGGUAAGGCCAGCACAUGUAACUGCCUGUGUCAUUCGACUCCCUAUAGAGGGUCCAGGGCUGAGCAUUUACAGGUGGACGGGUCCGGUCUCUGACGGUCAGGGGGGUCCGCACUUUAUCCCUGGAAUCGGAGAAGUGGGCUACAGGGGAUGAAGACAAGAUCCGCAUUGCUCCAAACGUUCUGAUUUGCGUGGUUGGAUGGGGAAAGGGGAGACCGAGAACACCCUCCCCAC